AUUCAUUUGACGAGUCGCAAAUAGGACGAAACGCGCCUUGUCCUAGAU
rnacentral:hammerhead_ribozyme from 1 species